ACCUGGCUUGGGGGCGCCUCGCCGCGUGCCUCAGUUUACCGCCACAUGCCAGCUGCCGCGGAGAGCCCCUUCCUCCCUGGCUCGGAACGCCCACCCCACCCCCAGCAACUGGCCAAAGCGGGAGGCAGCGAGGGAGCGGCCUCCGGUCCUAGGAGGGGAGAGCGGCCCCCGCUGCCGCCUCCCCUGGCCCCCGCCACCCGCCGUUGAUAUGGCAACCGACGGCCGCCAGGGGGCGCGGCGACACUGGAGGCGGCGAAGGAGCAACGCCUGGACCUUCCAGUGCUGGACGCCCUGUUCUCUGGGAGGCAGAGGUGAAACCCACCGACCCCGGUCCCCGCCGAACUGCACCGAGCCUCGGGUUAGUAAUCACAGAAACUGGCAGCAUUUACUCAGCACCCCUGUGUGCUCACGAAGUGCUAGGCGUUCCUGCUGGCUCCUGAAUCAACAGCCUCAGUCAGGAUCACUAACCCAUUUUACAGAAGAGGACAUUGAGGCUCAGAGAGGUGAGGUCAUUUGCUCAAGGUCGCCCAGUAACAAAGCUGGGACUUGAACCUGUCUGUCUGAAGAGGAUUCUCCUAACUCAGGCUAUUUACAGUCUCUCCAGGAGUAUAGCAGUGGUGCUAUUUGAGGCCUGCUGUCCUACCGGGCACCCAAGCCCACCAUCCAGCCCUAUGCCGCCUUCCCUGCCCCAGCGUCUUUCUCAUAUCUUCCUGCCUCCAGGUGCCUCCCAGUUCUUCCUCCAGCUCCACUCAACGACCAGCCCACAGCAAAGCUGUCUUCUGCCUCCUUCGUACCCCUGCCGGCUGCUCCCCUUUUCCAGCCCUCUGCCCAUCGAUCACCUGAGCCCUGGCCUCCCAGCCUGGCCUCUUCAUCUGCCCCUCUCACAGCACUCACCAGAUCAUUCUGAAGUAGAGUCUGCAUGUAUUUCCCUCCACUGUCUUCAGGAAAAACAAAUUGUGACAUUUGAGGGUCUUUCCAGCCUCCCUCCUAGGCUGUGGCCAGAAAAAUCUCCUCACUGUUUCCUACCUCCCCAGAACCAUCUCUACCUGCAGAAAACCGUUCGGCUCUUACCCCACAUGCUUGGCCUUGAAGCCUCCUCAUAGGAGGAGGAGGCAGGAAUGAAUGGGUCUAGUUAUCCUGGUGUCCCAGGAGACCCUGCUCUGGGGGAGGGCCCUGCCAGGGAGUGCCUUGAGGGUCAGGUGAGGAGCGGGGGGUCCUCUCCUGAGAGCAGUAUGGAGCCAGCGAGGCUUUUAGGCAGUCAAGUGACAUAUCAGGGAGUGAUCUGGGGUCAGCUUCAUGGUACAUUAUUAGAAGCAGGGAGGCCAUUGGCUAAAUUGGGGGUAGUGAAGGCAAGGAGGGAGAAAAUAAUAAUUGUAGUAAUUACAAUUUAUUGAGGGAAAAAUAAAUGGUCCAAGCCAUGUACUUAACACUU